ACGAGUCUUGACAACAACAUUAGUUAUAACUGUUUAUGACGAUUCAGAUUUCUAUAGAAUAUAUGUAACUGGGACUAAUAUAGUUAUAUUCUUUGUAUACAUUCAAAGGCCAGAGAUAAAUCGAAAUAUUGGACAUUUAUACAUUUGGUUCAGUUUCAGAUAUUUCACUGAAUCGAUCGAUCCAUUGACGCACUACAGGCCACCAUGCCACUAUGGGUGUGUCCAGGAAAACGAGCGUGUAUUAAGGCCUUUACCUAUCCUCAAGGUGUUAGAGCUCACACGCCUGGGUGUAAUGACGCCAAACGUCGACAGAUAAUACUAGAGACUUAUUACAAUAAGAAAAUUCCAUUAUACGGUGCUAUGGAAUUCCGUAAAGACACUGAAAAGGGAAGCAUAACUCUAGCUAGAAUUGGCGUUAGGCAGUACAGAAAAUCAUCAGCUACGUACACAAGAGAGUAGUCCUAUUACAAUUACCAAACAGCACAGUAUAAGAAGUUUGUGUUCUUUGUCUUGAGAAAGAAUACUUUUAACAUCAUAGCGAUCAGAGAAAGAAAGUUGUUUUUAAAGAAUUAUUAGAAUGAUGUUUGUGUACUUCGUUAUGUUUCUGUAUUACUGUAUACCUUUUAUAAAAUAGUAUACACCGUAUGUCUUUGUGGAUAUAUUCAAAUAAAUUCUGCAAAUAGCAA